rnacentral:rRNA from 1 species
GUCAUACACAUGCAAGUCGAGCGGAAAGGCCCUUCGGGGUACUCGAGCGGCGAACGGGUGAGUAACACGUGAGCAACCUGCCCCAAGCUUUGGGAUAACCCUCGGAAACGGGGGCUAAUACCGAAUAUUACUUCUGGCCGCAUGGCUGGUGGUGGAAAGUUUUUCGGCUUGGGAUGGGCUCGCGGCCUAUCAGCUUGUUGGUGGGGUGAUGGCCUACCAAGGCGACGACGGGUAGCCGGCCUGAGAGGGCGACCGGCCACACUGGGACUGAGACACGGCCCAGACUCCUACGGGAGGCAGCAGUGGGGAAUAUUGCACAAUGGGCGGAAGCCUGAUGCAGCGACGCCGCGUGAGGGAUGACGGCCUUCGGGUUGUAAACCUCUUUCAGCAGGGACGAAGCGGAAGUGACGGUACCUGCAGAAGAAGCGCCGGCCAACUACGUGCCAGCAGCCGCGGUAAGACGUAGGGCGCGAGCGUUGUCCGGAUUUAUUGGGCGUAAAGAGCUCGUAGGCGGCUUGUCGCGUCGACCGUGAAAACUUGGGGCUCAACCCCAAGCCUGCGGUCGAUACGGGCAGGCUAGAGUUCGGUAGGGGAGACUGGAAUUCCUGGUGUAGCGGUGAAAUGCGCAGAUAUCAGGAGGAACACCGGUGGCGAAGGCGGGUCUCUGGGCCGAUACUGACGCUGAGGAGCGAAAGCGUGGGGAGCGAACAGGAUUAGAUACCCUGGUAGUCCACGCUGUAAACGUUGGGCGCUAGGUGUGGGGGGCCUCUCCGGUUCCCUGUGCCGCAGCUAACGCAUUAAGCGCCCCGCCUGGGGAGUACGGCCGCAAGGCUAAAACUCAAAG